AAGUAUGAAGCAACAUUUGCAUUUAGUUUCGACCUAAAAAUUUGAUUUUAUUUAAUCCUUACUUU
rnacentral:tRNA from 1 species